UUAGACAAUUGUUUCGUCAUUGUUUUGGCGAUUUAGGGUUCGUCUCAGACCGCAGCGUCGGUCCAGCCUCAAGCUCACCAUCGAGAAUCUUCACUGCCUAGUGCCUACGCCUCGUAUUCAUUUCGCAGCCAUAUCUAUUUCUAAAACCCUGCCCUGGUUGGUUUUUCUCCAUCCGGCGCCGCCUCUCAAAGCCUCUGCUUCUCCGAAGGUCACCUCUCAUCGAUUUGAUGAUGGAUUACAAUAAAAAAUCAUGCCGGAUCAGGAAUCAGCAGAGGCGAGCAUACGAAACGGGUCAUUGGGCACGGUCACGGUCUAAAAACGGGUUAACGACGAAACGGGUCAUCGGGCACGGGUCUUUGAAAUGGGUCUUCUUGACCCGUAUGAGUUCGGCAGCUCAGCUCAAACCAAAAUCGCUCCAUAGUGAUCACCUCCUUCGUUCGGCAGCUCAGCUCAAACCAAAAUCGCUCCAUAGUGAUCACCUCCUUCGAUAUGGCGAUGAACUGUGAAUCAUGUGGAAACACAAGAGCUUUGGUUUAUUGUUGGGACUGUGGCCAACCGAGAAUCUGUGUUCCAACAUUCCAACACUUUGGAGAUCACAUCAGGACACAUAUGCAUAGUCCUGUGUGUGAUCUCUGUUCAGUGAAGCCAGCCCUUGUUCGUUGUUUUAAUGGUGGUGGGUUAUACUUUUGUCAGAACUGUUUUGUGGGUCAGGCUCAGGAGUGUGUUGUCAGAAAAGACCAUCUGGCUGUUGUCCCCUUCUCAGGACACAUUUAUUGUUCUGCUGCACCGACUCAGCAACUCACCGUAGCUGCACCGACUCAGCAACUCCCCCUCCUAGCGACUGCACAGACUGCAUCUGGUUCAGUUUUGCAGACAUCACAGUACCUACCCCAGUCAGCCUUAUCUGAAAUACUUGAUAACGUCCCACCUUUCUCUACUAGUCACCAGCUGUGUUCAACUUCCUCAAUGGCGUCUACCUCGGGAGUUCGUGUGGUUGAAGACCAAACACAGCAGUCUACUUUGGGUUUUGGUUUGAGUCAAAACCGCCUAAGCUUUCCUUCCACUUCGGGAUUCCGUCCAACUGGCUUGCAGGCUUCAGGUUCGCAGUUGCAGAGUUCAACUUCCUCAAUGGCGUCUACCUCGGUUGGUGUGAUUAGAGACCACCCACAGCAGUCUACUUUGGGUUUUGGUUUGAGUCAAAACCGCCCAAGCUUUCCUUCCACUUCGGGAUUCCGUCCAACUGUAUCUAGUUCAUACCAACUAGCUUCGCAGACUGGCUUGCAGGGUUCAGGUUGGCAGUUGCAGAGUUUAACUUCCUCAAUACCAUCUGCCUCGGUUGGUGUGAUUAGAGACCACCCACAGCAGUCUACUUUGGGUUUUGGUUUGAGUCAAAACCGCCUAAGCUUUCCUUCCACUUCGGGAUUCCGUCCAACUGGCUUGCAGGCUUCAGGUUCGCAGUUGCAGAGUUCAACUUCCUCAAUGGCGUCUACCUCGGUUGGUGUGAUUAGAGACCACCCACAGCAGUCUACUUUGGGUUUUGGUUUGAGUCAAAACCGCCCAAGCUUUCCUUCCACUUCGGGAUUCCGUCCAACUGUAUCUAGUUCAUACCAACUAGCUUCGCAGACUGGCUUGCAGGGUUCAGGUUGGCAGUUGCAGAGUUUAACUUCCUCAAUACCAUCUGCCUCGGUUGGUGUGAUUAGAGACCACCCACAGCAGUCUACUUUGGGUUUUGGUUUGAGUCAAAACCGCCUAAGCUUUCCUUCCACUUCGGGAUUCCGUCCAACUGGCUUGCAGGCUUCAGGUUCGCAGUUGCAGAGUUCAACUUCCUCAAUGGCGUCUACCUCGGUUGGUGUGAUUAGAGACCACCCACAGCAGAUUCCCUUUCGUUUCUGCAGUCUACUUUGGGUUUUGGUUUGAGUCAAAACCGCCCAAGCUUUCCUUCCACUUCGGGAUUCCGUCCAACUGUAUCUAGUUCAUACCAACUAGCUUCGCAGACUGGCUUGCAGGGUUCAGGUUGGCAGUUGCAGAGUUUAACUUCCUCAAUACCAUCUGCCUCGGUUGGUGUGAUUAGAGACCACCCACAGCAGUCUUCGCAGGACCCUAUUGCUGAUCAAUCUGCAUCUCCUCCUCGUGAAUUGGGUUUGUUCCCACUAAAACCUUCCAAAAGACAGAGGAGGGAAUGAAGACAGAUGGUAUUGUGAUAUACAAGGAGAUUUGUUUGUAGUGGACCACUGGUUCUAUGUUUUUUUCUUUUGGAUCUAUUUUUUUGUGUUCAGAAUGUUGAACAAACAAUUCUUUGGUUGUUGACUUGGUGGCCAUAAAAAUAUGGAUGAGUUAUCUUUA